rnacentral:rRNA from 1 species
UACGGAGGGGGCGAGUGUUGUUCGGAAUUAUUGGGCGUAAAGGGCGCGCAGGCGGCUUGGCAAGUCGAGUGUGAAAUCCCUUGGCUUAACUGAGGAAUGGCGCUCGAAACUACCUCGCUAGAGGGCGGGAGAGGGAAGUGGAACUCUCGGUGUAGGGGUGAAAUCUGUAGAUAUCGAGAGGAACACCGGUGGCGAAGGCGGGUCUCUGGACAGUUCCUGACGCUGAGGCACGAAGGCCAGGGGAGCAAACGGG